rnacentral:rRNA from 1 species
UACGUAGGUGGCGAGCGUUGUCCGGAUUUAUUGGGCGUAAAGCGCGCGCAGGCGGUCGCGUAAGUCUGCUGUGAAAUCUCCCUGGCUCAACCGGGAGGGGGCGGCGGAGACUGCGGGACUGGAGGGACCUAGAGGCCGGUGGAAUUCCUGGUGUAGCGGUGAAAUGCGCAGAUAUCAGGAGGAACACCGAUGGCGAAGGCAGUGGGCUGGGCCGGCACUGACGCUGAGGAGCGAAAGCGUGGGGAGCGAACAGG